CUUUCAUAAUAAGCAAGCUCUGUUCCAUGAUGCCAUAUGCCCUACAAACAUUUGCACCCUGUACUGAUUACGCAGUGUGCGCUUCGGACCAUUCGAAAGGCGCAGUAAUUCCCAUAGGAAGCGAGCUGGGAUCAACACAGUGUGUUCCGUGGCCGCGACAAUUGGAGUGUUCCUUGUGUGGGCAUACCUGGUGCUCAUCCAAAUGCUAUUGGCGAGUUCGCGUGGCCAUACCAACAGCUACCACCACACGCGAAGAUGGCGAGCGGAGGUCGAUAACACGUCUCGGUGUGUGUGUGCGGACAACGCCGUAAUCUCUGACCAUAAUAUCGAAAACGGUAGCCACAUAUGCGCCUGCCCCGACGAAGACAAUGCGCUCCUUGGAGAGGCCGAUCAACUGUCGGGGCCUUUGCAAGUCUCAAGAGAGCUGUCGAACAUUACUGUGCCAGUGAAAAACUCAUCGGAAGAAGCUGGCGCAGCAUUUCUACGAACGCACCAAGGCGAAAAUGUUGUCGUGUACGAAUAGCCAAUGAUGCGGUAAUCUGCAGAUUUGCUUGUUAUCUAUACAAGUUUCGUUCGCCAACCGAUGCAUGUCCUUUUGCAACAAAUAUUAUGACAAAUAA
rnacentral:lncRNA from 1 species